UGCUCCCAGCCAAGGUGCACUUGCAUCAUGGCUUUAAGCUUUUUCUUCUGCAACCAUGAGGCCUAGACACUUAUUUUUUAAGAAGAGCAGCUGCUGAGCUGUCUCUAGGAGUUGAGGCUUUAAGUGAAACAGUCAAAUAUCAUGAGACAAAACCAUGAGAGUUGGCACUUCUGGUAGUCUUUACAUGUUUGUCCUUUGCUUCCUGAAACAUUGAGGGGCUUCCUUGCUGUACAUCUUCUCCAGCUGAAGGUAGUGCAGCAAUUGCUGGGGGUUGCCCCUGCUCCUGGAAUUAUUUUAUAACCCAAGCCACAAAGAGGCAGUAGAGAACAUAGUAUGUCUGGAGAAGAACAUUGCUGCAGCCAUCACUGAUGGAUGUGCAGCCACCUCUCUAAAGGAAGAAUACAGUCCCUUGAAAGGCCAUACCACAGUGAUUUGGUAGUUAAUAUACAAGACUAUGAGAUAGGAGGUUUUGAUUCUAUUCCUGGCCUGCCACUUGGCAAGUCCCAUUUCUCUGUGUCUCAGGCCUGGAGUACACUAUAAAGUUAGGUCAAUGUCAUCAUUGGCAAUCCCUCGAUUCAAUGAUGAUCUCUACCACAGAUUUACAUAUGGGUCCUGAGGUUACUCAGGAGUCGGAUCCUGGAACCACAGAUCUGCCCGCAGUAGGUAGAGACAUUUCCUGGUGGGUCAGCUGCCUGCUUGGAGAAACUUCUCUCUCAUUUCUGCUUCGAGGGCAAGGCACUUCUCCUCAAAGCGAGCUACUGCCUGAUGGAGAUGUGGCACCAUUGAGGUCAUUGGUGGCUUGCUCUUCCUGGCUUGUGAUGUCAACAUCAGUUGUCUUGAGAUACGCUUUCAGUGUGUCUUUGUAGUGUUUCCUCUGACCGCCACAGGAUCUCUGACCAUGGUCGAGCUGAGAGUAGAGGACUUGUUUUGGGAGGUGGGAGUCUGGGAUCCGCACACAAUGUCCAGCCCUGCUGAGUUGGUGCAUGAGGAUGCUGGUGACAUUGGCUUCUGUGUCCUGAAUGCUGGCAUUAGUACAGCGAUCUUUCCACUUGGUGCGAAGGAUCUUCCAGAGGCAUCGUUGAUGGUACCUCUCCAGACUCUUGAGGUGCUGUUGAUAGGUCACCCAGGUUUCGCAUCCAUAAAGGAGUGUAGGAAUAACAGUUGCCUUCUAGACCUGCAUCUUGGUGUCCUGCCGUAGGUCACGGUCCGUGAAAAGGUGUCAGAGCAAUUUCCCAAAGGAUGCACUUGCACACUGGGUCCUGUGCUGGAUUUCACUGUCUAUUUUUGCAUUUUGAGAAAGUUGGCUACCAAGAUAACAGAAGUGCUCACUCGACUGUCUCCAAAGUCUGUCCCUUGAUGGUGAUUAGUGUCCAGCCCAUCCCUGCAGUCAAGCACGGGCAAGGCCAAUGCAGGGGAAGGAAGUCAGCCCUGAGGUAUUCCCACUCCACACCAGCAGAAUGACUGAUCCAGAUAAGGAGGAGGAAAAAGUGGAUGUGGGAGGACAUGUUUUGCGAGAUCCUGCAAGCCAGUGCUGUAUUAGAUCUUGAACGUAGGGCCUGGAGGGUGAGUAUUACAGAUUGUAUGAAGAAUGAAAGAGCAGACAGGAAAAAGGUUUGAGUACUUAUCUAGGCAGUGAAAGACCCAAGUUCAAGUCCCUGCUCCAGUGACUAUUUAUGCAAAGUGGAACAGCUUCAAUAGGAGAGACUCAGAAUACCCUACACCAGACUAGUCGAUGGUCAUGGGGUAGGGCGCUAACAUAAGAAUGGCCAUACUGGGUCAAACCCAUGGUCCAUCUAGCCCAGUAUCCUGUCUUUCAACAGAGGCCAAUGCCAGAUGCUUCAGAGGGAAUGAACAGAACAGGCAGUCAAGUGAGACACCCUAUCAUCCGCUCCCAGCUUCUUACAAACAGAAGCUAGGGACACUCAACAAGCAUGGGCUUGCACUAAUAGCCAUUGGUGAACCUAUCCUCCAUGAACAUAUCUAGUUCUUUUUUGAAUCCUGUUAUGGUUUUGGCCUUCACAACAUCCCUGGCAAUGAGUUCCAUGGGUUGACUGCAUGUUGUGUGAAGAAGUACUUCUUUAUGUUUGUUUUAAACCUUUAGUUUGUUUGCAUUCUCCUGCAAUGUGGGAGACGUAAAUUCAAAUCCCUUCUCCACAUGAGGCAAAGUAGGGAACUGAACCCAGGUCUUCCACCCACAUCCGAAGUGGUGCCUUAAUCAUUGGGUUAAAGGUUAUAAGAGGAUGGCACAACCUCUUCUGCCUGUUUCGUGACUCCCUCCCAAAAAAAUCAACGUUUCACUAAUAUCAAAAUGAGACAUUUCAUUUUGAUAUUGCCAAAAACAUUUUGAUUUUCCAGUUAGGUUGAAACUACUCUGCAAACUGCACAAAUUCACUAAUAAUUUUGGGUAGACCUAAAACUGAAUUUUUUGGCAAAUAAACUAUUAGUUAAAAAAAUUCAUCCUUCUCUAAUUUUGAGAUCUGUCAAUCAGCCAGUUUAAUUCAUUUUAUACAUUCCCUGCUUAUUCCAUAUGAUGCAAGUAAAAAUGUAAUGUUGUAUUAAGUCAAAUGCCUUGGAGAAAUCCAAGUAUACUAUGCCAACAUAGUGGCAUUUAUUAACCAGACUUGUAAUCUUGUCAAAAAGAAGUCAGUUGGUUUGUCUGACAAGAUCUACCUUCCAUGAAAUCAUGCUCCUUGGCAUUAUUUUAUUUGUUAAUAAAGUCCCAAUUUAACCAUUACAUUAUCUUACCUGAGACUGAUGUCAGGCUAACUUGUCUAUUUUUCCUGAUCAUCCCUUUUACCCAUUUAAAAUAUUGGAACUAUGUUGGGAGUCCUUCGACCCUUUGGAAUUUCCCCAGUUUUCCAAGAUUUGUUAAAAUCUAACAUUAGUGGUUUAGAGAGCUCCUCAGCUAGUUCCUUUAAGACUCUUGGGUGUAAGUUAUCUAGAUCUAUUGAUAUUUAAUUUUAGCAGAAGAUGCUUCGCAUCUUCCUUUGUUACAGAUGGUAAACUAUCUAUUCCAUCCACAUCAUAUGGUAUGGAUAUAUCAUCCUGCUUCCUUUCAAAUGUCUGUUAAACAUUUCUGCCUUUUCUGCAUCACUAUUUACAAUUUUACUAUCGCAUGUAGCAAUGGACCUAUACUGAUCAAGGACAUUUUGUUGUUUUUGUUCCUAAUAUGAUUAAAAUGCCUUAUUAUUGUGUGUAGCCCUAUUGAGCAUUGAUAUUUCAUUUACCACUUCUCCUACUUUCAUUUUUUUAACUAUUGUAACUGUAUUCUUAAA